AGAGCACACGGUAGUAAAAAGGGAGCGCUUAAACAAAAACAGCAUUUUGUACUCAGCUGGACGGGAGCUGCUCAAGAGUCUGAAACAUUCGCAGCAGUAAAACUGUGGCACCUUACCUGAUUUUGUAUUACUAAUCCUACAGAUCUUUCCUCUAUCUGGUUUGGGCAUUUUGUGUGAGGACAACUCCCAUCUGUGGGUAGAAUUAUAGAGCUGAUGUGACGCGGAGAGACGUGUGCCUGCCUUGCACUGGCUCGGUAUGGUGCCCUCCAUGCUCCACUGCAGAGGAGGAAACGCCAGGCACAGGCAAGACGCUGGCGAGGGGGACGUAGCCACAGAAAAGCAUCAGCAUCCUUGCAAAUCAGUGCAUGCAAUGAGCCGGGAACAUUGUAUACCAAAGAACCCAAAUGUUAAGGGAAACCCUCAAAAUAUUCCAGAACGGAGGCUCCCUGUAAGCAAGCGCACAGUCUGCACUAUGGGAAGUGACGGAGUCACCUAGAGGCUGCGGGAGAAAUUCCCCUGGGCCUGGGUCACGGUAGAGCAGCGGGCGAAGGAAGCAGAAGUGGAAAGCAGCUGUUGUCUCUUUCUUACUUGGCAGAGAGGGUUUCAUGUAAAAGGAAUGACAUUUUUUAAAUUUAGAAGUGUUUUACCAAAACGAAAGGAAAAUAAAGAACUGG